CAGGGCUGCCCUGGUGGCUCAGUGGAUCAGAAUCCACCUGCCAAUGCAGGAGACAGGGUUUCAAUCCCUGGUCCAGGCAGAUCCCACAUGCCUCAGAGCAGCUAAGCCCAUACGCCACCACUGUUAUGCCUGUGCUCAAGAGCCUGCCAGCUACAAAUUCUGAGUCCACACACCCUAUAGUCUAUGCUCUGCAACAAGAGAAGCCACUGCAAGAAGAAGCAUGCUUACUGCAACUAGAGAGUAGUCCCCACUCUCUGCAAUUGGAGAAAAGCCUGUGUAGCAACAAAGACCCAGCACAACCAUAAAUAAAUAAAUAAAUGUUUAAAAUUAUUAAAAAAAAAAAUACUCCUACAAUGGAAAGGUAAAUAUCCUAGCCAUUACCAUGAAGUCAAAGGGAACACCCUAAGUAACGGAGGAGUAAAGAAUAUGUAGGUUUCUGGGUCUGAAAGGCUGCACAGAGCAAAGCCACUCCACCUGCCUGGACUGCACACUCCUGAGUGUUACAGGAGAGGGGAAUAUAGCUCUGCUCUGUAAGCCAAGGUGUGGCUGGGUCUCCUUAGACCAGCUUAGCCUGUGCCCAGCCUCAUUCAUACAUAGGGCCUCACUUUCUCCUUUCUUCCUCCUUCCCAUAAUGAGCCCUUCUUUCUUCCUCAUAGGUUUCUCCCUUCUCUUCUUACACCUCAUUCUCAAGUCCUUUCUGUCUCUGCCUCAUUCCCAGGUUCUUCCCAGCAGACUAUGUGCUCAGUCAAAAUACUGGUUUCCAUUUAGCAUGUCUGCAUAUAAAGCUCCUUCCUCCACAAAAAGCAACUUCAUUUCUCCUUCUCAAUUACCAGAACAGAUUGCAUCACCUGAAAGGAACUUUAACGAAGAAUUUCAAGCCCACCCCACCCUCAAAGGAUAAGCUAUUUAUACAGGCUACCUGCCAGGCUUAAAGAAUGGUAUCAAUUAGAGAGAUUUUUGGAUAAUUACCAGAAUGUGCACAAGCACAGGAACCAAGAACAAGCAAUGUAAUCCACAAGGGCACGCAUUUUGUUCAUUGAAUCUGGCGUUUUUGUCAUCAUGAGGAGCAGACUACUGAGAGAAGAGGAGUCAGUGACAUUUAGCUCUGUAGGCUGUAUGUGGGUUGUGGAGAAUGCAAGUGGCUUGAUCCUAAUUCCAGGCAGAAUCUCAGAUUCUCUGGGUAGAAGGAUUCUGAUCCUUGAAGGGUUCCUACAACCUAAACAAAGCUCUAGUGUGGCAGAGACCACCCUGUAGUUCCCCUGAGCCAGAACUCUUACCAUUUAUUCAUUCAACAAACAGUUUUGAGUGCCUACCAUGUAUCCUGGAUUGUGCUGGGUGCUGGGGAUAACAUAAAAGGACAUUGGUCUCUGUCUCCUUGGGCUUACAUGUAGUGAAAACAUGCAUAAUGAAGUAACUGGAUGGAAGAUAGGUGCUGUGGGAGGUCCAGGUGCCUUGGGAACACACAAAGGCAAUAGACCUUCCAGCCCCACUUUGUUUGCAGAGCAGUGGCAGCUGCGCUUAUAUGCUCCAGGAGAAAGACGAGGAUCCUUCUCAGGGAAAAGUGAACUGCCUCCAAGGAAAGGCCCUACACAGGGAAAGCUAUUUUUCUUUCCUGACCACCCACGGUGAACCUAAGCCCCUCCCUCAGGUGCAGGGAGCUUCCUACCAACUUGUGCCUCACUCUGAAAUGUGAAGAGAACAGGAAUACCAGACAGUUGAGAAUAGCCUCCAACAAGGAACUAAAGACAGACAAAGAGUCGAACAAAAAGCUCCCAAGAAAUGAGGCAACAUAGGGAUCAGGAAAAACAAACUUCAUAAAUUUAGUUUUUUUCAGAGACCCCCAAAAGUUACUGUGUCUAACAAUAAAAAUAAGAUGCUAUUUUAAAAAAAUUACAAGUAUAUAGCAAAACAGAGCACUUGGAAAAUUCUGAGGAUCCAUUUGGCAGAAUGAUUUGGCCCAGAACUUACCACUGAGCUAGAACAUAAGUAUGGUCUGUGGUGGUUCAUUUUUUUUUUUUUUUUUUUUUUGAGGAAAAAAUUGGAUAAUGGAGUUCAGAUGUGAUGCCUGUCUGUUUGAGAACAUGCUAGAUUGUGAGUUUAGCCUCAAACAUUUAAAUCAAACUAUGUCAUCUAAAUAAGUGAGGACAGGUGCAGUAGAUCCCUGAGCUCACAAUGAUUCCUAUUCAAUAGUCCCAGAUUGCUGAUCAGGAAGAAACAAAAUUUGGGGAGUCAAAAUUUAAACAUGGCAAUUACAGCUUUAAGAUGAAGUGUAAUCUCUAAGGAAGAAGAGUGGAGAACCUAGGACCAGGUUCUAAGGAAAAUUGGGAGCGUUUAACAUCUGUAUGGAGAAACUGCCAUGGCAAAGGAAACUCAGACGUUACCAAGGUAGCAUGGAAGUCAAGAGAACAUUUUGAAAAGGAGAGAGUACUCAGUGUCAACUUUUACAUAGAGAGAGUGAGCUGCCGUGUUCUGAGGACAUGCAAGCAGUGUAUGGAGAGGUCCAGGGAUGAGAAACUAAUGCCCCAUCCAACAGCCAGCACGAACCUGCCAACCAAGUGAGGAGCCACCGUGGAAGCAGAUUUCCAGCAGCCCCAGUCAACAUCUGUACUGCAACCUCAUGACACAAAGCCAGAACCACCCAGCUAAGCUGCUUCCAAAUUCCUGACCCACAGCAAUGUGAGUUUUUCAGCCCAAGCUUGACGAGCUGUGGGACCCUCUCCAGUUGCUCCAACAGUCUGGCCGGACUGACUCGUACAUCACCACACCAGGGCAGCAUCAGAACGGUUAGCUGUUCUAAGAUGUGCAGCCUGUCAACUUGAAGAACCAGGGAGCAGUUUCAGAAAUUGGAUCCAUCUCAAAAUUGAUAAAGGAUGAAGGGAUGUGAGAGAAGGAAUGACGAUUAUCUCUGAAGCCUGCUCAGUGCGCAACAAGAAUGUACUUGUUUUUUGUUAAUAUUUUUAUGGGAAGUGUUCAAAAAUAUACAAAAAUAUAUAAAACUAUAUGUACUAAUAUGCCAACUUUCAACAAAAACCAAAUCAUGGAUAAUCUUGCUUCAUUGUCAUCAAACUCCUUCCCUUCUAUAUUAUUUUGAAACAAAUCUCAGACAGUAAGUACCAGGUUGUUUUAUUUUAACAUAAUCACAGAAUUGUUAUCACAGCUUAAAAAUCUUAUCACUAACUUCUUAAGCAAAAUUGCCUUGAAUGUCACUCUCAGAUACUAGCUCCCUGGAAGGAGGCAAGCAAGUGGGAAUCUCAGGUGCAAUGAUAUGGAAGAACUAAUAACUCAAAAACCAUUGGCCUGUAUUCUUCAAGAGUAGUUUAAAAAAGGGCUACAUUGACUUAUGUAAUGACUUUCACUUUCACUGAGGUCCACCUGGUAAGGCAUAUGUGGAUAAACGAAACUGCAGGAGUCAGGCUCUGCUUUUCUGACCUUUUGAGUAUUUGGUUUUGGCUAAAUUGUCAUUCUUACUUAGUUGCUGAAGAGCUUCUUUUCCAUCCUUUUCCAGAUGAUUUUCAGAUAAAUCAAGAAUGCUCAGUCUGGCCAGGUUAUGAAGAUUCUGAGCUGGAAAAAAGAAAUUUCAAUCCAAAACAAGACUUUCAGGGAACUAUAAGUGCAUUUUAAAAUAUCCUUAGAAGAAUUCUGAGUCCUUGUUUUCUUUGUUGGCAGCAUACAAAACAUUAUUUCACUGGAUUAAUAUAAUUAUUCCAAAAAAGUCUCUGGAAAGAUUUAACCCCCAGUUGCCACAACUAUGAUUGAUGCACAUAUAUUUCCUGGUCCUAAGUUCUGACUAAAAAACUUCAAUUCACCAUAAGCCUAAUGCAGCCUGGAAGACAGUUUUUAUGUCAUUUUAGUAAAGUCACUCUGCUUUUCUAGGCUUCAGCAGCUUCAUCUUUAGAAUGAGGAAGUUGAAAUGGAUAAACUAUUGAGGUUGCUUACAAUUCUAAAUACCCUAUCAUGCAGGAGAAACAAAGGAACAAAAACCAGAUAAGAUGAGCUGUUCUUUGUGUACUCAGUUUAGAUAAUUUUGUUAAUAUCAUAGGUGUGAUGCUAAUAAUAAAAACUUAGAAAUUAAAAAAGACAGAUGAGAAAAACAAAAUAAAUAGCAAAAUGGCAGCUGGAAAUCUCUUCAUAUAAAUAAUUAUAUUAACGGGAUUAAACAUUCCAAUUAAAGACAAAGAUGAAUACAACUAGAUUUUCUUUUUUAAAGCAAGACCCAACUCCAUGCUAUCUAUAGGAGAUGUAUUUUAAUAACAAAAAUACAAAUAUAUUGAGGUUAAAAUUUUGGGAAACUAUAUUACAUGUAAACAUUAAUCAUAAAUGCCAUUGUUAGGCGGUUAGAAUAGGAAAAAGGAGUCCAAAAUGGCAGUGGCUAAAAGACAAAGAAAGGGGAAAGCCCAUGAAAAAGGAACAAAGGAAAAUUUUGAGGACUGGAGUGAGAACCUCAGGUGAAACAAACACACCCGCUUCCUGGCUAGCCCUAAUUUGCAUAUGGCAGGCUCAGAAGGUAGGAGACAAAAACGUAAAAAAGAGGGAGUCAAAACAGGUGGGGCCUCUCCACUGGGGUCAGCCCGCCUUCACGCCUCGAGGGUGUACUAUCCUUUGUUUGCUGAAUACAACUCUGAGCUGUAACACUGGUCCACUAUUUCAAAUCUUUGUUGCGGCAAGACACAACUGACGAAAUUACACUCUCCUGACACUAUCAUUCUAGUGAGGAACUGCUUAAUUCCUUUCUUCAUUUUCAGAUAUUUAUCAUGGUUGUUUAAUUUAGUUGAAGUUUUUCCUAUCAAGACUGAUUGGAAAUAUCCCCGUUAGAAAUUAGUCAGUUUUUUAAUGAAUACAUACUCUUGUUAUAAUAUUAGCUAUUAUUAUUUUUAAUCAAUCGUAUGAACCCUUUUCUUAGAGUAAAGUAUCUUCUGUGAUUUGGUUUCAAA